rnacentral:rRNA from 1 species
GAUGAACGCUGGCGGCGUGCCUAAUACAUGCAAGUCGAGCGAACAGACGAGGAGCUUGCUCCUCUGACGUUAGCGGCGGACGGGUGAAUAACACGUGGAUAACCUACCUAUAAGACUGGGAUAACUUCGGGAAACCGGAGCUAAUACCGGAUAAUAUAUUGAACCGCAUGGUUCAAUAGCGAAAGACGGUUUUGCUGUCACUUAUAGAUGGAUCCGCGCCGCAUUAGCUAGUUGGUAAGGUAACGGCUUACCAAGGCAACGAUGCGUAGCCGACCUGAGAGGGUGAUCGGCCACACUGGAACUGAGACACGGUCCAGACUCCUACGGGAGGCAGCAGUAGGGAAUCUUCCGCAAUGGGCGAAAGCUUGACGGAGCAACGCCGCGUGAGUGAUGAAGGUCUUCGGAUCGUAAAACUCUGUUAUUAGGGAAGAACAAAUGUGUAAGUAACUAUGCACGUCUUGACGGUACCUAAUCAGAAAGCCACGGCUAACUACGUG